rnacentral:rRNA from 1 species
UACGUAGGGUGCGAGCGUUAAUCGGAAUUACUGGGCGUAAGCGUGCGCAGGCGGUCCGUUGUGUCUGCGUGAAAUCCCCGGGCUUAACCUGGGAAUGGCCGUGGAAACUGGCGGGCUUGAGUGUGGCAGAGGGUCGUGGAAUUCCCAGUGUAGAGGUGAAAUUCGUAGAUAUUGGGAAGAACACCGGUGGCGAAGGCGGCGACCUGGUCCGUGACUGACGCUGAGGCGCGAAAGCGUGGGAGCAAACAGG